rnacentral:lncRNA from 1 species
UAAAAAUGUGAUUUCGGAGGAGCUUGAGCGAAGAGUAUGAAGUGAGCAUGCUCCGACAUUCAAAGAACCCCUUUCCGAAAGCUACUUUGCUACGAUGAGGAGUCAAGGAAAUAAGAUUCCAGCCAAAAAGAUUCGUAUCAAGGUAACUUCAAAGCGAAAAGGCCACAGCGGGCAUAAAAUGGGCAAAAUGGAAGGACUGAGACAUUGGGAAUGGAAGUGGAGUUCUGGCUAA